rnacentral:rRNA from 1 species
UCUGGUUGAUCCUGCCAUUAGUCAUAUGCUUGUCUUAAAGAUUAAGCCAUGCAUGUCUAAGUAUAAACACUUUGUACUUGUGAAACUGCGAAUGGCUCAUUAAAUCAGUUAUAAUUUAUUUGAUGGUCCUUUACUACUUGGAUAACCGUGGUAAAUCUAGAGCUAAUACAUGCACAAAAUCCUGACUGCUUUCGGGUAGGAGGGGUGUAUUUAUUAGAUUCAAAAGCCAAUGCCAUUCUUCGGAGUGGAAAUUUUUUAUAUGGUGAAUCAUGAUAACUUUACGAAUCGCAUAGUCUUGUACUGGCGAUAGUUCAUUCAAAUAUCUGCCCUAUCAACUUUCGAUGGUAGUAUAGAGGACUACCAUGGUGGUAACGGGUAACGGAGAAUCAGGGUUUGAUUCCGGAGAAGGAGCCUGAGAAACGGCUACUACUUCCAAGGAAGGCAGCAGGCGCGCAAAUUACCCAAUCCCGACACGGGGAGGUAGUGACAAAAAAUAACAAUACCGGUCUUAUUAAAGUCUGGUAAUUGUAAUGAGUACAAUCUAAAACCUUUAACGAGUAUCAAUUGGAGGGCAAGUCUGGUGCCAGCAGCCGCGGUAAUUCCAGCUCCAAUAGCAUAUAUUAAAGUUGUUGCAGUUAAAAAGCUCGUAGUUGGAUUUUGAUGAUACUUUUUAUAACCUGCCUUGUAUAAGGUAUGUUUGUUGUGAAUCGUACAUCUCCUUACUAGACUUUCAUGGUUGUACUUAAUUGAAUGACCAUUUCAUUCUGAUUCGUCGGGAUGAGUGAUGAGUAGACCUAUUGGGUUUGAGAUUGUGGAUGAAUUUCUUCGGAGAUUGGUUCUGCUUGGAUUCAAUAACUAUUUAUUAGAAAUCUAGUUCAUUUACUUUGAGUAAAUUAGAGUGUUCAAGGCAAGCAAAUUUGUUUCUGCAAUGAAUACUAUUAGCAUGGGAUAAUGGAACAGGACACGUAUUCUAGUUUUCCGUUGGUUUCUAGAAUUUUUAGUCACUCUUUUUGGAGUGGCGAAGUGUAAUGAUUAAAAGGGACAGUUGGGGGCAUUCGUAUUUCAUUGUCAGAGGUGAAAUUCUUGGAUUUAUGAAAGACGAACUUCUGCGAAAGCAUUUGUCAAAGAUGUUUUCAUUAAUCAAGAACGAAAGUUAGGGGAUCGAAGACGAUCAGAUACCGUCGUAGUCUUAACCAUAAACUAUGCCGACCAGGGAUUGGAAGAUGUAUUAUCCUGUUUAAACGCAGGAAAACUCCUUCAGCACCUUACGAGAAAUCAUAAGUCUUUGGGUUCUGGGGGGAGUAUGGUCGCAAGGCUGAAACUUAAAGGAAUUGACGGAAGGGCACCACCAGGAGUGGAGCCUGCGGCUUGAUUUGACCCAACACGGGAAAACUCACCAGGUCCAGACACAGUUAGGAUUGACAGAUUGAGAGCUCUUUCUUGAUUCUGUGGGUGGUGGUGCAUGGCCGUUCUUAGUUGGUGGAGUGAUUUGUCUGGUUAAUUCCGAUAACGAACGAGACCUCAGCCUGCUAAUUAGUGAUGCAAAUGAUUACAUCCGUAA